rnacentral:piRNA from 1 species
UGAGUCACGUCCCCAACUCUCUUUUGACU